GUCGUUGUAGUAUAGUGGUGAGUAUCCCGCCUGUCACGCGGGAGACCCGGGUUCGAUCCUCCGGCAACGGCG
rnacentral:tRNA from 1 species